GUUUUGAUGUGUAUGGUUAUUUCAUGUAUUAAGACUGAGCCAACAUGGGGUCGCCCGACUGGUGCAACAGAAG